UACGUAGGGCGCAAGCGUUGUCCGGAAUUAUUGGGCGUAAAGAGCUCGUAGGCGGUCUGUUACGUCCGCUGUGAAAACCCAGGGCUUAACCCUGGGCUUGCAGUGGAUACGGGUAGACUAGAGGUAGGUAGGGGAGAAUGGAAUUCCUGGUGUAGCGGUGAAAUGCGCAGAUAUCAGGAGGAACACCGGUGGCGAAGGCGGUUCUCUGGGCCUGUACUGACGCUGAGGAGCGAAAGCGUGGGGAGCGAACAGG
rnacentral:rRNA from 1 species